AGCACUGUGCAGCAGAAGCGCUGAAAGACAGAGCGAGCGCAAAGUGACAAGACCUCCUCAUACUGCGCGAUAACAUCCACACCUAUAUGAAACAAGAAAAACCAAAACAAUUGCGGAAAUAAGACGAGGAAAAGAAGGAAACGCCAGCUGCAGUUAAACCAGGGAUUGCCAUUGGAUCACUUUAUACCGGCACAUGUAAUGUCUUGCUCUUGAUGAUAAUCAUACGCGCAGAAGCCGUUCUCUGGCCCUAGUCGCGCGUGCAGAGUGGAGGUUGCGCUUGGAAGUGUACGAAACUUUUUUUUUGUUUUGUUUUGCCUCUGACGUUUUGGAUUUAGAUUUAUUAAAAGUCGACCUUCCAUUAUACUGUGGAUUUUAUAAGCGAAAUACGCGGAGGACCAAGAUAGUGUGGAUUUCACCCAAUUUCUUUUCUUUGUCUUAUUUUACUAUUAUUAUUAUUAGUAUUAGUAUUAUCAUUAUUUAUGUUAUUAUAUUUUCUGGAGGAGCGGAGACGUUCAAGAAGUUAAUUUUAGUGGAUUCGACGCAGGUGCUUCGGUCCUGAAGGGCAGAAUGGAAUUGUUAUUUUGACCCACGAUAUCACACGGUUCCAUUCAUAUUCCUCAGCUUCGCUUUUUAAUUGUUUUGAGAGCCAAAGACUGUUCAGUGACGCUCACCGCAACACACCACUGGAAUUACAAUCAUGAACUUUGUCGUUUAUUCGAUACAGUUAUUUUUUGCGGCUCUCCUUCAUCUGUCUGCUGUAAAGGCUGCCCACAUACCCAAAGAAGGGGGAAAGAGCAAAAAUGAAGUGAUUCCCUUCUUGGAUGUGUAUAAAAAGAGUGCGUGUAAGACACGAGAGCUGCUGGUAGACAUCAUUCAGGAGUAUCCCGACGAGAUCGAGCACACAUACAUCCCGUCCUGUGUGGUUCUCAUGCGCUGUGCAGGCUGCUGCAACGACGAAGCGCUCGAGUGUGUCCCUACAGAGACGCGCAACGUCACCAUGGAGGUACUGCGAGUCAAACAACAUGUAUCGCAGCAUAAUUUUCAAAUGAGUUUCACAGAACACACCAAGUGUGAAUGCAGGCCAAAGGCAGAAGUCAAAGCAAAGAAAGAAAAAAAACCCAGAGUGGGGAGGGUUAAAAGCCGAAAAAGAGCAAGAGAGGGAGAUACAGGCGAUCUCAACGCCUCGGCUCACCUGCGCUCAAGCAGUAUUUUGCUCUCAGUCAUUGGCUUUAUUUCAGGGCAGUUUGUUUGCUCUUUGUAAUCUCACUCAGUCUGCAUUUAUUUGUACUCAUAUUCACACUGUUGGCCCAAAGCCCGCAAAGACGAAAGCAACCAAAGAUGUGAAAAACCAAGAUGAUGAGCGGAACGCUGGGCAGAACACUGAAUGAAGGAAUUUUUUUACAGCACAGCACUUUUUAACCCUGAGGAUGCAUUCCCUGGACGAACUACAAACACUACCCUGAACAAAUAUCAUCCCAAUGUAUAUUUUUAAGAUAUUAAUAUAUGAAUAUAUAGAAUAUAUAUUAUAUAUAUUAAAUGACAAUGACAAUGUGUGUCGCUGCUAUCAUCCGAAUUACUACAAACAAUUAAACGAAGACGCUGCUUGGCGUGUGAAUGGGAUAUAUUGCAGUGUCACUGCACCUGGGUCUGUGAUUGGACAGAACACGGUGAGGUAAUGCUUCACUGGAUCAGCUGGCUGUGGAUUCACAUUUAAAGACUCGGAUUGAAUGUCCAAGACUUCACCAAGAGGUGCAAACGAUAAUCUCCACCCCUUUAUAUGAACAGUUACAGACUGUCAAUCAAAGGAGAGGAAGUGACAGAUUCUUUCGGACUGUUCGGAACAGUGGGUCCAGGCACGGGAUACGAAUGCGGAACUAUCUAUUUCUGUGAUGUCACUCUUACUUGGGUGAAGUCUUAGUCAAAAAGACACCUGUACUGACUAACAUCCUAUAGGACUUGGUGUGAAAAUACUAAAGGGAUAUUACAUGUAUGUAUAUAUGGAAUUAAAGAAGAAGAAAAGAUAAAUGUGACAAAAUGCAAAUUGGAAAAACAAACAAAAAAAAAAGAUUCUGACUUUUGUCAAGGAAUAGAAUCAUUCAGUUCACAGCAGUAGUAAAAGAUAAAACAGAUAUUUAUGGUUCGUAACAUUUUCCAAAGAGAAUAUUGCACACAACUUUAGGAACUGUUCAUUACCACACAGUGUCUGUAUAUACAUACCUAAUAUCCCUUUAUGUAGUUCACCUCAUCUAAUUUAUAAUGUUAGAAUAUGUUCAGUAUUCUGUGUAUUUAAUUUGAUCUAUUUAUAUGCAGUGUUAUUGUUGAUAUUGUUUUGCUUUGUUUCCCAUCGACAUUGUCAUCAAUCUGAAAAACUGUGGAUGGCUUUUAUAGAACGAAAUACAAAUGAAAAGAGAUACAAACACUUCAACAUUCCUGAAAGCGCCUUUUUUGUCGUUGUUUAUUUGAACAUUUUUAUAUCAGUGAUCAGUUUGAUGGAGAUACGAGAUCUGUGGAGGAGAAAACAAAACAUUCUCUUUGUGUGAAAGUGCCAGAAUUUUUUUUUUUUUCUUUGUUUGUUUUCCAUGUACAGCCACAUUUUCAGUAUAUUUUCACAGUAAUAUAUUUAUUGGUGCUGUUAAAUAUUAACAUCCUUUUGUGUUUUUAGUAUAACUAUUAAACAUAUUUAUUUUCAAAUGAUAUUGUUUUUUAUUAAAGCAAAAAUGGA